CUGACCUCAAGUGAUCCGCACGCCUCAACGUUGCAAAGUGCUGGGAUUACAGAUGUGAGCCAUUGUGGCAGGCCUUGAUUUCCAUUUUAUACAAAGUCUAUUUUGGUUCUCGUAUAAAAACUGAUUGUAGAGGAACAAGAAAGGAAAGAAAGCAGAUAGGGAGAAAAUUGCUACAGUCUGGGUAGAAGUUUCUGGCUGCUUGACUUAGGAUGGUUCUGGUUAAAAGAACCAUCAUAGGAGAUGAAAAGAAAUAGAGUGAUUAGAAGAACAUUGGAAGUGGAUGGCCAUUGACUGUUGACAGAAUUGAUGUGAACAGUGAGAUGAAGAAUUAAAUUCCCAAUGGUACUAGGCUUUUGGUUUGGAAGUUCCUGGAAGUCUUUAAAAAAGAACAGUCUUAUUAAUAAGAAAACAAAGCUUGUUCCAUUUGAAAUGCUGUUAGACAUCCAGGUAGACUAUUGGAUAAAUAUCCUAAAGGGGAGUAGUCAAAUGACAUACGCAUCAGGAACAGAAGACAGAAGAGAUCUCAGCAUUGAGCUGUGACUUUUCGCAACAUUUAGAGGUUCCACAGUAAGGAAGACUCAGCAAAGAAAACUGAAUAAUAGCAACUAGUGAGACUGAAGGAAAACUGGGAACCAUUCCAUCCAAGAGAACCUGUAUCAAGAAGAGAAACAUUAACGAUGUGAAAUUUUGCUGAGAGACUAAGAUUAAAGCAAAGCUGUGUGGUCUCUGCAUUUGGCAAUGUGGAGGCUGCCAUUGACCUUGUCAGAACAGCUUUAGUGGAGUUUCUAGGCUACAUAUAUGAUAUGUGCGGGUUGAAAAAAAAAGUGAGGUGAGGAAAUGAAGACAGCAUGCGCAGAUGAUUUUUGGAGUGCUAUGACAAAGAACAAGAAGCCCAGUUGUAGGUGGAGAGGCACAUGGGUCAAAGAGAGGCUGUUUGAUAUUUCUGUAUGCAAGUAAGUGAGAAAAGUGAGAAGGAGAUGUUGCAGGGUGGGAGGAGGAGUGUUUUGAGAACAAAGUCCUUGAGUAGAUGAGACAUAGAAUGCAGAGUAUAAGUGAAGAGGGUGCCUCAGAUGGGAACAGAGGCUUGUCUUCCUCUGUGAUGGGAAAGAAGGCGAGAGUGUAGGCAUGGAUUCAGGAAGGUCAGUAUGUGAUAGUGGGAGGACUGUUGCUGCCUCCCCGUAGUUCGUGAUCUAAAGGAGAGAGACACAUCGUACACAGCUCACUACAUGAGUCAGACAGCGGUCUGGGCAGACAGCAACAACUGCUGUGAGAGGGCACUGGUGGGAGGAAUCUGCCUACCAAAGUUUUACAGUGCAGGUGGCAUCUGACUUUUGUGUUGAUUAAUACAUAUUAUUAUGCUGUUAUUUGACUUAUACAUCAACAGGUAUAAGGGAAUUUCCUCUAGAAGGCCCCCUGUGAAAGAUAUUGUAUCAAGAAAGACACACAGGUUAAUUUCUUGUUCUUAGUAAAGUUACUCUUCCCCAGAUCCCUCUCAGGCAUCAGUGCCUUUUCAAAGCCCCGUUCUCCUUUGAAAACUUCCUCUCUUCCUUUCCUUGGCUAUUUUUUAAUUAUCUUGCAAGUCUAAGUUGAAGUGUUCCUCUCCUAAAAAACCUUCCCAAAGCCUACCCCACAAAACCCUUAUCAAUUUGAAUUAGAUCCUUCCUAGUUGUAGGUAGAGCAAAAUAGUGGCUUCUAUUUUUUUUUUUUUUUGAUGCAUUGGCAUGACUGUUGGCUUUAUCCACGUGAUAGAACAAGAAGCGUCCAUGGUGGUAGCCACUCUAGAGCUCAGGAGGCAAAAUGAUAUUCUGAGACCCAGAGGGCUAGAAUGAAGGCUUCCAGAAGAGAACUGUGCUUGCAGUCUUGGAAAAAAUUAUUGCUCAUGUCUCCAUGGACACGUGCAGCUGAAUCUAGCUUUUCACUUUACUUUGGUUGAAGACCAUUUUGAUGUGUAUCAUGAAAUAAACAUACAAAUAAUGAAAAUCAUAAACAAAACUCUCAGUAUAUGGGUCAGAAAUCCUACUCAGUUUCAAAGUAUAAGUCAUUUUAGGUGGGACUCAAGUAGUAUCAGCACCAUUUCCACAGCCCAGGGAUGAACUUUAUUGUGGUCCUUGUUAGGAAAGUUCAAUCAAACAAGCCCCCUGCCCCUGGCCCCUGCCAUAUCUCUAUAAAACAGUCAUAUGCUAUGGAAAAGGCUUUAGCUCUUAGUCUGAAUAUAGUGGCAGGAUAAUAUCACCUGCACCACAGAUACCCAUGCUCCAACUCCCACAACAUGUGAGUAUGUUAUGUGACAUGUCAAGAGAGAAUUAAGUUUGUGGAUGGAAUUAAGGUUGCUAAUCAGUUGACACUGAAUUAGGAAGAUUACCCUGCACUACCUGGGUAAAACUAAUGUAAUUACAAGGGCUCUUAUAAGAAAACAGGAGAGGCAAGAGAGUCAGUGUCAGAGAGACACAGCAUGAAAAGGACUCGACUGGGCAUUUCUGGUUCUAAAGACAGAAGGUGGCCACAGAUGAAGGAGCAUAGGUUAGAAAAGGCAAGAAGUUGGAUACGUCCCCUAUAGUCUCCAAAAGGAGUACAGCUUUGCUGAUAUUUUCAUUUUAGUCCAAUGACACUAGUUUCAGAUGCCUGACCUGCAGGAUGCUCUCAGUGUACAAGGUCUCUACAUGAGCUACAGUGAGUGGUGAUAAGGAAGAGAGUUAACGGCAGGUGCAGGAAUGCCCAUAUAAUGGGUGAGCUCUUUCUCCAGCUGCUGUGUCCAGGAGAUACGCUCUGAUGUUAAGACAAUCCCUGACGUCCUUGGUAGAAAGGCCCUUAGGAAUCACUCUAUCAUAUUUAGAUUGAUUCCUGAGAAAGGUAAAGCUACCCCAAACCCAGUUCUGUUGCUCAGAGUUCCCGACACAAUUCUCUGAGUUGUCUAGUGAGUAGAAAUAGAAGCCAAAGGUUCAUGGAAGUCCAUAAAUGCAGUGUACAUCUUAAGCAUUUAAGGAAACCCUGUCCAUCUUGAAAGUGGAUCAUGAAUCUAAGGGUCAGGGUCAUUCUCUGUGACAGCAAUCAAGGUGAGAGCAACCAGCUGGCUCUCACAGGAAGUUUUGGGAGACAGAAACUUCAUUGAUUUGUCUGCCUUCACAAUUCCACGUAGCACCAGGCACAGAGCAAGUGAAUGAAUGUUUUGUUUAAAGGAAAUCAGCUCUUUUAAACAAUAUAAGUCUUAUUUUCUUCAAAGGGUUAUGCGUUAUCAAGGAACUUGAUGUGCCCAGGGGUUAAACUUAGUUUUCUUGAGUUCCAUUUCUGUAGUAUAAAGAUUCUAGGAUACUUUCUAUAUGGAUUAAGUGUUAGGCACACAACUCUCCCACACAAAACUAAAAAUUGUUCCGCAAAUAUGGAAAGUAUAGAAAAUUUGGUAAUAUGUGCAAAAUGAUGAGAAUGGUACACAGAACAGAGUUCAGUGUGUUUGUGUUAUGCUCUGUGAUCUGGCAUAGGUUCAAUUAUAUUUUGAUUGAUAAUUUUUCUAUAAAUCCAUGCUUUGGAAGGUGACCUGUCUUUCUUUCUCCUAAAGGUAAUGUUAUGCCUGUAUCUGUGUAUCUUAUCCUAGAUCAACAACACUGGAUGAUAGAAGAGCAUAUGAAGGACCAUGUGAUAUUUAUCUUAAGAUAAUACUAGAAGAACUGAGGCUAUUCUAGAACUUAAUUGACUUCAGAUAAAUCUGAGAAACAAGAAUCUUGAGUCUUUAAGCUAGUCAUAAUUUCCCUCUUAGAAAAAUUUGUCUCUAAUUUGUUUAUUCCCCAAAUAUGUAAUUAUUGUAAAACAAAUAGAAGCAAUAACUAAAUUCUUCACUAAUAAAUCUGCCUUGUUUAAAUGGCACUUGAUAUCUUAUAUUAUUAUUUAGAAUAUUAUAGUGACAUAGUCUUAUCAAGAAAGAGUACAUUUAAUCACAAAGUUAUAAAACAACUAGAUUGAAAAUCAAUGAAAAUUUUGUACACAAUAGUUGAUGUUACCUUAUGAAAAAUAAAAUCUUACGUGGUUGUUUCAUUAAAAGUCCCUGCUUUUAAUACAUAGCUAUUAUUUUAUAUUCAUUAAAAAUAUGGGGAAGGAAACACUGAAAAUAUCACUUGAAGAUAGAUGUAGCUUGUCUGGCUUCUUUUAUGAUUUUUCAGAUGCAAUAUGGAAGAAAAAACGUAUAAACAUUAUUUCCUUGAGAGGUAGAUCAAAUAAAGAACAGUUUUUUUUUU